rnacentral:rRNA from 1 species
AGCAGCCGCGGUAAUUCCAGCUCCAAUAGCGUAUAUUAAAGUUGUUGCAGUUAAAAAGCUCGUAGUUGAAUUUCGAGACCGGUUUACUGGUCGUGCUUUUGUACGUACUGGUAUUAUUGGUUUCUCCUUUCUGACGAAUCUUAAUGCCAUUAAUUUGGUGUUUUGGGGAAUCAGGACUGUUACUUUGAAAAAAUUAGAGUGUUUAAAGCAGGCUCACGCUUGAAUACAUUAGCAUGGAAUAACGAAAUAGGACGUUUGAUUUUAUUUUGUUGGUUUCUAGGAUCGACGUAAUGAUUAAUAGGGAUAGUUGGGGGCAUUAGUAUUCAAUUGUCAGAGGUGAAAUUCUUGGAUUUAUUGAAGACUAACUACUGCGAAAGCAUUUGCCAAGGAUGUUUUCAUUAAUCAAGAACGAAAGUUAGGGGAUCGAAGACGAUCAGAUACCGUCGUAGUCUUAACCAUAAACUAUGCCGACUAGGGAUCGGAUGAUGUUAAUUUUUAAUGUACUCAUUCGGCGCCUUAC